rnacentral:rRNA from 1 species
GUCUUUUUGAUAAUAAUUUAAAGUCUGGCCUGCCCAAUGAUAAUUUAAAUGGCCGCGGUAUUUUGACCGUGCAAAGGUAGCAUAAUCAUUAGUUUUUUAAUUGAAAGCUUGUAUGAAAGGUUGAACGAGAAAAUUACUGUCUCAAUUUUAUUUAAUAAGAAUUUUAUUUUUAAGUUAAAAAGCUUAGAUAUUUUUAAAAGACGAGAAGACCCUAUAGAGUUUUAUAUUUUUAAUAAUAGAUUUUUAAAUUAUUUAUUAAAUUAUCAAAAAUAUUUUAUUGGGGUGAUAAAUAAAUUUAGUAAACUUUAUUUAUUUUUAAACAUUUAUUUAUGUUAAUAAUGAUCCAAAUUUUUUGAUUAUAAGAUUAAAUUACCUUAGGGAUAACAGCGUAAUUUUUUUUGAGAGUUCAUAUCGAAAAAAAAGAUUGCGACCUCGAUGUUGGAUUAAAAUUUAUUUUUGGUGUAGAAGCUAAAAAAUUAAGUCUGUUCGACUUUUAAAAUUUUACAUGAUCUGAGUUUAAACCGGUGUGAGCCAGGUUGGUUUCUAUCUUUAAAUAAUUAAAAUGUUUUAGUACGAAAGGACCAAAUGUUUAUAAAAUUUAUUUUAUUAUUGAAUAUUAUUGUUAUUUUGGCAGAUUAGUGCAUUAAAUUUAGAAUUUAAUUAUGUAAUUUAUUACAAAUAAUACUUGUUUUAUAAAGAUUUAAUUUUAAUAUUUAUCAGAGGUUUAUUAUUAGUAAUUUGUAUUUUAAUU